rnacentral:rRNA from 1 species
AGAGUUUGAUCCUGGCUCAGAUUGAACGCUGGCGGCAUGCCUUACACAUGCAAGUCGAACGGCAGCACGGAGCUUGCUCUGGUGGCGAGUGGCGAACGGGUGAGUAAUAUAUCGGAACGUACCCUAGAGUGGGGGAUAACGUAGCGAAAGUUACGCUAAUACCGCAUACGAUCUAAGGAUGAAAGUGGGGGAUCGCAAGACCUCAUGCUCGUGGAGCGGCCGAUAUCUGAUUAGCUAGUUGGUAGGGUAAAAGCCUACCAAGGCAUCGAUCAGUAGCUGGUCUGAGAGGACGACCAGCCACACUGGAACUGAGACACGGUCCAGACUCCUACGGGAGGCAGCAGUGGGGAAUUUUGGACAAUGGGCGAAAGCCUGAUCCAGCAAUGCCGCGUGAGUGAAGAAGGCCUUCGGGUUGUAAAGCUCUUUUGUCAGGGAAGAAACGGUGAAAGCUAAUAUCUUUUGCUAAUGACGGUACCUGAAGAAUAAGCACCGGCUAACUACGUGCCAGCAGCCGCGGUAAUACGUAGGGUGCAAGCGUUAAUCGGAAUUACUGGGCGUAAAGCGUGCGCAGGCGGUUUUGUAAGUCUGAUGUGAAAUCCCCGGGCUCAACCUGGGAAUUGCAUUGGAGACUGCAAGGCUAGAAUCUGGC